rnacentral:rRNA from 1 species
AGAGUUUGAUCCUGGCUCAGGAUGAACGCUAGCGAUAGGCUUAACACAUGCAAGUCGAGGGGCAGCGGGGGUAGCAAUACCCGCCGGCGACCGGCGCACGGGUGAGUAACGCGUAUGCAACUUACCUAUCAGAGGGGGAUAACCCGGCGAAAGUCGGACUAAUACCGCAUGAAGCAGGGGCCCCGCAUGGGGAUAUUUGCUAAAGAUUCAUCGCUGAUAGAUAGGCAUGCGUUCCAUUAGGCAGUUGGCGGGGUAACGGCCCACCAAACCGACGAUGGAUAGGGGUUCUGAGAGGAAGGUCCCCCACAUUGGUACUGAGACACGGACCAAACUCCUACGGGAGGCAGCAGUGAGGAAUAUUGGUCAAUGGGCGUAAGCCUGAACCAGCCAAGUCGCGUGAGGGAUGAAGGUUCUAUGGAUCGUAAACCUCUUUUAUAAGGGAAUAAAGUGUGGGACGUGUCCUGUUUUGUAUGUACCUUAUGAAUAAGGAUCGGCUAACUCCGUGCCAGCAGCCGCGGUAAUACGGAGGAUCCGAGCGUUAUCCGGAUUUAUUGGGUUUAAAGGGUGCGUAGGCGGCCUUUUAAGUCAGCGGUGAAAGUCUGUGGCUCAACCAUAGAAUUGCCGUUGAAACUGGGGGGCUUGAGUAUGUUUGAGGCAGGCGGAAUGCGUGGUGUAGCGGUGAAAUGCUUAGAUAUCACGCAGAACCCCGAUUGCGAAGGCAGCCUGCCAAGCCAUGACUGACGCUGAUGCACGAAAGCGUGGGGAUCAAACAGGAUUAGAUACCCUGGUAGUCCACGCAGUAA